UCUAAUUCUACUGUGAAAAGUGACACUCUAUGGCAAAUAGCGGACCAAAAUUGUUGCCCUCCACUUUAGUCCUACAUUAUAUUACUGACUUUAAGUCAUAAGAGUUAGGGGCCAACAGUGAAGGAGGUGUGUGUGUGUGUGUGUGAGUGUGUGUGACUGCAUUAUUUAGCAUAUUGCUCAUUGUUUAGUAGGCACCUAGUAAAUAUCAUUUCAUUGAAUAAAUAAAAUGAAAACAACUCAGUUUCUCAAAAACAAACAACAAACAUAGCAAAACAAAACAAAAGCCUCAAUAACAAGUACAUGUAGGAAUUUUGUCUGUGGUUACGUGACCCAUCUCCCAAAAAAAUGUGUGCCCCCAACAUCUAAGGAGCUUAUACUGGAGAAGCCAAUGAUAGUCCAUGAAUAUUAGCAGGAAAUCAUUAGGUUUAUCUCCCUUUUCAUUGGCUGACUUAUUGAU
rnacentral:lncRNA from 1 species